UAGGUGGCGAGCGUUAUCCGGAAUUACUGGGUGUAAAGGGUGUGUAGGCGGGGAGACAAGUCAGACGUGAAAGGCAGGGGCUUAACCUCUGCACUGCGUUUGAAACUGUUUUUCUUGAGUGUCGGAGAGGUAAAUGGAAUUCCCAGUGUAGCGGUGAAAUGCGUAGAUAUUGGGAGGAACACCAGUGGCGAAGGCGGUUUACUGGACGACAACUGACGCUGAGACACGAAAGCGUGGGGAGCAAA
rnacentral:rRNA from 1 species